UACGUAGGGGGCAAGCGUUAUCCGGAUUUACUGGGUGUAAAGGGAGCGUAGACGGUGAUGCAAGUCUGAAGUGAAAGCCCGCGGCUCAACUGCGGGACUGCUUUGGAAACUGUGUGACUAGAGUGCAGGAGAGGUAAGUGGAAUUCCUAGUGUAGCGGUGAAAUGCGUAGAUAUUAGGAGGAACACCAGUGGCGAAGGCGGCUUACUGGACUGUAACUGACGUUGAGGCUCGAAAGCGUGGGGAGCAAACAGG
rnacentral:rRNA from 1 species